GAAAUGCGAUACGUAAUGUGAAUUGCAAAUUCAGUGAAUCAUCGAGUCUUUGAACGCACAUUGCGCCCCCUGGUAUUCCGGGGGGGCAUGCCUGUCCGAGCGUCAUUUCUGCCCUCAAGCACGGCUUGUGUGUUGGGCCCCGUCCUCCGAUCCCGGGGGACGGGCCCGAAAGGCAGCGGCGGCACCGCGUCCGGUCCUCGAGCGUAUGGGGCUUUGUCACCCGCUCUGUAGGCCCGGCCGGCGCUUGCCGAUCAACCCAAAUUUUUAUCCAGGUUGACCUCGGAUCAGGUAGGGAUACCCGCUGAACUUAAGC
rnacentral:misc_RNA from 1 species